rnacentral:rRNA from 1 species
CCUACGGGGCGCAGCAGUGAGGAAUAUUGGUCAAUGGGCGAGAGCCUGAACCAGCCAAGUCGCGUGAAGGAUGACGGCCCUACGGGUUGUAAACUUCUUUUGUCAGGGAGCAAUUGAGUCCACGUGUGGGCUUAGCGAGAGUACCUGAAGAAAAAGCAUCGGCUAACUCCGUGCCAGCAGCCGCGGUAAUACGGAAGGUCCGGGCGUUAUCCGGAUUUAUUGGGUUUAAAGGGAGCGUAGGCCGGCUUUUAAGUCAGCUGUGAAAGUCCGCGGCUCAACCGUGGAAUUGCAGUUGAAACUGGAGG